CCGGGAAACUGGGGAUAAUUCCGGAUAACGCAUAUGUGCUGGAAUGCUUUAUGCGUAAAAUGGAUUCGUCCGCCCAAGGAUGGGUCUGCGGCCUAUCAGGUAGUAGUGGGUGUAAUGUACCUACUAGCCGACAACGGGUACGGGUUGUGGGAGCAAGAGCCCGGAGAUGGAUUCUGAGACAUGAAUCCAGGCCCUACGGGGCGCAGCAGGCGCGAAAACUUUACAAUGCGGGAAACCGUGAUAAGGGGACACCGAGUGUCAGCAUCAUAUGCUGGCUGUCCAGGUGUGUAAAAUACACCUGUUAGCAAGGGCCGGGCAAGACCGGUGCCAGCCGCCGCGGUAACACCGGCGGCCCGAGUGGUGAUCGUGAUUAUUGGGUCUAAAGGGUCCGUAGCCGGUUUGGUCAGUCCUCCGGGAAAUCUGAUAGCUCAACUAUUAGGCUAUCGGGGGAUACUACCAGACUUGGAACCGGGAGAGGUAAGAGGUACUACAGGGGUAGGAGUGAAAUCUUGUAAUCCCUGUGGGACCACCUGUGGCGAAGGCGUCUUACCAGAACGGGUCCGACGGUGAGGGACGAAAGCUGGGGGCACGAACCGGAUUAGAUACCCGGGUAGUCCCAGCCGUAAACGAUGCUCGCUAGGUGUCAGGCAUGGCGCGACCGUGUCUGGUGCCGCAGGGAAGCCGUGAAGCGAGCCACCUGGGAAGUACGGCCGCAAGGCUGAAACUUAAAGGAAUUGGCGGGGGAGCACAA
rnacentral:rRNA from 1 species